CAGUAGCCGCGGGAAUACAGAGGGUGCGAGCGUUAAUCGGAUUUACUGGGCGUAAAGCGUGCGUAGGCGGCUUCUUAAGUCGGAUGUGAAAUCCCUGAGCUUAACUUAGGAAUUGCAUUCGAUACUGGGAAGCUAGAGUAUGGGAGAGGAUGGUAGAAUUCCAGGUGUAGCGGUGAAAUGCGUAGAGAUCUGGAGGAAUACCGAUGGCCAAGGCAGCCAUCUGGCCUAAUACUGACGCUGAGGUACGAAAGCAUGGGGAGCAAACAGGAUUAGAUACCCGCGUAGUCCCUGUCUCUUAUAC
rnacentral:rRNA from 1 species